UACGAAGGGGGCUAGCGUUGCUCGGAAUCACUGGGCGUAAAGCGCACGUAGGCGGCUAUUCAAGUCAGAGGUGAAAGCCCGGGGCUCAACCCCGGAACUGCCUUUGAAACUAGAUAGCUAGAAUCUUGGAGAGGUCAGUGGAAUUCCGAGUGUAGAGGUGAAAUUCGUAGAUAUUCGGAAGAACACCAGUGGCGAAGGCGACUGACUGGACAAGUAUUGACGCUGAGGUGCGAAAGCGUGGGGAGCAAACAGGG
rnacentral:rRNA from 1 species